rnacentral:lncRNA from 1 species
UGACUUUUCCAAUUUAUUUAAUUCCGAGUGGAAAUGUCUGGAAAAAUUCAUGUCUUCGAUGUACUUUAUAAUCUUCGGAAUUCUGCUAGAUUUCACCCCCAAAAUGCAUGAAAUCGCAAUUCAGGGACCCAAGAUUUCAAAAUUUUCCGGACCCCGGACCCUCCUAGACGGUCUCACGCCUUCGGCGUGAGGUUCGCCCAAUAUAGCUGAAGUUAAAUUAAAGUUUUACAAAAUCUCUCUUCAGACUCGCGCGUUCGCCAAACCUCGACGGCUCAUAUUUUUCGUUCUGCCUUUUUUUCCUGUUUUGCCCCNNNNNNNNNNNNNNNNNNNNCCCCCCCCCCCCAGUGAAAAUUCCUUAAAAAAGGCACUGCUUCACAAUAUGCUUUCACGUAAAAAUAUUUUGCCUUUUCACGAGUCACGAAAAAUUUAAAAAAUUCCUUCACGUUCAUGGAUUAAGA